rnacentral:sRNA from 1 species
UAUCUUUCUCUCUCUCUCUCUUCU